UGGGGAAUCUUGGACAAUGGGCGCAAGCCUGAUCCAGCCAUGCCGCGUGAGUGAAGAAGGCCUUCGGGUUGUAAAGCUCCUUUACCAGGGACGAUAAUGACGGUACCUGGAGAAUAAGCCCCGGCAAACUUCGUGCCAGCAGCCGCGGUAAUACGAAGGGGGCUAGCGUUGUUCGGAAUUACUGGGCGUAAAGCGCACGUAGGCGGAUUGUUAAGUCAGAGGUGAAAUCCCGGAGCUCAACUUCGGAACUGCCUUUGAUACUGGCAAUCUAGAGUCCGGAAGAGGUUAGUGGAAUUCCCAGUGUAGAGGUGAAAUUCGUAGAUAUUGGGAAGAACACCAGUGGCGAAGGCGGCUAACUGGUCCGGUACUGACGCUGAGGUGCGAAAGCGUGGGGAGCAAACAGGAUUAGAUACCCCAGUAGUCCCUGAGCGGGCUGGCAAGGCGCAU
rnacentral:rRNA from 1 species